UCAGAGCUGAAGUUAGUAACUUGGUGAAGUCAGUGUCCAGCAUUUCUAUCAUCAUUUAUUUCUGGAUUUUUCUUUUUACUUCUGUUUUACAUGAAUUGAUUUGACACUCACAUCUGCUUUGGACUGGUUCCAACUCAGAAAGCGACUAAGAGAGAAUCAACAUGUGAUCUCAUCUUUUUCUUUUUUCAUCAUGUCAAGGAAUAAAAACUCUAAGGAUUGUCCUGAAUACCUGAGAACAACCAGAAAAACAUCACAGCUGAGUCUGGACAGGACGUCACUCUGACAUAUCAAGCUCCAAACAACAACAUCAGAGCUGUACAUUGGAGCAGAGCUGACCUGGGAGAUGAAUAUGCCCUUGUGUUCCGGGAUGGUCUCUUUCUUCCAGACAACCAGCAUCCAUCUUUUAAGAACCGGGUGGAUCUGCAGGACAGACAGAUGAAGAAUGGAGACGUGUCUUUGAUUCUGAAGGAUGUGACGAUUAAUGAUGCUGGAACAUACGAGUGUCGUGUCUUCAUGGAACAAACAUGCUCAUGGAAGCUCAUCAGCAUCAUCUACCUUCAUGUUGAUCCUCCAGGUCAGACAGGAGGAGACACAGAGGAUGGAUCUCUUGGACUGAUCCUUCGUCUGUCAGUUCCUUCUGGUGUUAAUUAUCCUUAAACUACAUGAACAUUGUGUGACAUUUUGGAAGCUGUGAUCCAUAGUUGCAGGGGGUGGGGGCUGAUCAGGCAGAUUUUAUUCACUGUAAGUACAAAUGUAAUAUACAAUCAUAUACUGGAUAUCAUAUGUAUACCAUGUGAUACCACAUGUCUGAUCCAAAGGUAUUUCACAUCAACAUUUCUAGUCUCUCUAUCUUAUAUUUUUGCUCUUUACCUGACAGUGUCACCGUCAGUGUUGGUCAAGUUACUUGAAAAAAGUAAUCAGUAACUAAUUACUGAUUACUUCCCCCCAAA